rnacentral:tRNA from 1 species
GGCUGUGGCUCGGUGGUAGAGCACCUACCUUGCACAUGUGAGGUACUGGGUUCGAUCCUCAGCACCA